CCCUCAUGUGGAAGUCUGUUACAGGGAUGACUGUUGUUCUGCCCCUGUACUGUGUGUCUGAUCGCUCCACAGUGUGUUACAGAAUUAAACUCGAUGACAGCGCAAGUCCACGACUCAUCAUCUUCUACAUCAGUGGUUCUCAACCCUGGUCCUCAAUUACCCCCUGUCCUGCACGUUUUAGAUGUUUCCCUGCU